rnacentral:misc_RNA from 1 species
GUCAAAGUGAAACCUUGGAGCGGUCCGCUGCCAAAAGCCCGGGUGUCACCGGCCGUUACUCUCGGCAUGGUGCUGGAGGCAGCGAAACAUAAUCAAUCGAAUUUCGUCGGAAGGCCGAAGGGGAGGUCGUCAAUUCCUGAUCCGGUUUCUUCGGAGGGAACAAAUUCAAACGCUGUGUCUGUGCGUCGAGGGAAGGGAGACGACGCGGCGAUCCCUCUGGGCUCUUCGGGUGCUUGUGUUGGGCCGGAUCACUUGAUUUCUACAAGCGGUGCCAACACAAGGAAGCAAUCUACGGAUGUCACGGCCGAGACGAUUUCUCUGCCUGGGCUGAGUUACUCACCUCAGGCCCAGAAGUCUCGGGCCAAUAGCGAGGUUUGCGCUUUGAUUGGCACGAGAUCCAUGCUUUCGUGGAAGGAGCGUAAUCCAGGUAUUGCUGCUAUUUCGCGACGGUUGUUUACUAGGGAUUCUCGAAACCCUAAACCCAGUUUCCAGCCACACAUACCCCGCGCCACGUUUUUAUCUUUUGGCAAAUCCUUCGCUGCUGCCGUCAUGUCAGGUGGAGGAGCGGGAGAUGCAUUGCGUGAAGGGGACAAGGUAUGGAAGGAGGUGGGUCGUCGGAGGGCUGUUUCCCAAGAAGAUGUCGGGCGUCACCAUGCUGGCCGUGUGCAUGGUGGUCAUGAACGUGGCCGUUUUACCUGGCGUGGUAGGGGAAGCCGCUUUGGAGGCCGCUUUAACAGAGGGCUUGCAAGGGAGUCCAGCGAGUCCAGUCGAAGUGGUGCUCGUGGGAGAGAAGAAAAUGCUAACAAGCGUGUUGCGGAUGAGGGACAGGCGACAGAUGCUAAUGGUAAGAAACACAAAGCUGAGCUCUGUUGUGAGAUCUGUGAAGAAAAUCAUGUGCCUUUGGAUUGUCCUGUAUUCAAUGGUCCCAAACCAAGUGCAAUUCUAUGCGGAAUCGCG